GUUGCAGUUCCUGGAAUUAAGUUGACUGUGUAGCCUGGGAAGGCAAGGCUUGAGCACUGCUUCUGAAGUCAGCAACUUGAUUCCAGCAAUUGCGGCCCAA
rnacentral:pre_miRNA from 2 species